AUUGAACGCUGGCGGCAGGCCUCACACAUGCAAGUCGAACGAGUGGCGUCCGGGUGCGUAAUGUCUGGGAAACUGCCUGCAGGCGGGGGAUAACUACUGGAAACGGUAGCUAAUACCGCAUACCAUCGGAUGUGCCCACAUGGGAUUAGCUAUUAGGGGGGGUAACGGCGCACCUAGGCGACGAUACCUACCUGGUCUGCGCGGAUGACCAGCCACACUGGAACUGAGACACGGUCCAGACUCCUACGGGAGGCAGCAGUGGGGAAGAUUGCACAAUGGGCGCAAUCCUGAUGCAGCCAUGCCGCGUGGAUGAAGAAGGCCGUCGGGUUGUAAAGUACUUUCAGCGGGGAGGCGUUACCCGCAGAAGAAGCACCGGCUAACUCCGUGCCAGCAGCCGCGGUAAUAC
rnacentral:rRNA from 1 species